rnacentral:rRNA from 1 species
GGUCAAGCAAGCAAGGGCACACGGGGAAUGCCUUGGCGCCAGGAGGCGAUGAAGGACGUGGCAGGCUGCGAUAUGCCUCGGGGAGCUGCCUAACAAGCUUUGAUCCGGGGAUUUCCGAAUGGGGAAACCCGGCCGGGGUCAUGCCCGGUCAUCCCGCGCUGAAUACAUAGGCGCGCGGAAGCAAACUCGGGGAACUGAAACAUCUAAGUACCCGAAGGAAGAGAAAUCAACCGAGAUUCUCCUAGUAGCGGCGAGCGAACGGGGAACAGCCCAAACCGAGGGGAAGAAAUUCGCCUCGGGGUUGUGGGACCUCGACAUGGUACCCGGAGGGGUAGAAGAACGGUCUGGAAAGUCCGGCCAUAGACGGUGAUAGCCCGGUAUUCGAAACCUCGAAGGGACCUAGAGGGAUCCCGAGUAGCGCCGGACACGAGAAAUCCGGCGUGAAUCUGGGGGGACCAUCCUCCAAGGCUAAAUACUACCUGGCGACCGAUAGUGAACCAGUACCGUGAGGGAAAGGUGAAAAGAACCCCGGUGAGGGGAGUGAAAUAGACCCUGAAACCGUGUGCUUACA